rnacentral:rRNA from 1 species
CCUACGGGAGGCAGCAGUGAGGAAUAUUGGUCAAUGGGCGUACGCCUGAACCAGCCAAGUCGCGUGAGGGAUGAAGGUUCUAUGGAUCGUAAACCUCUUUUAUAAGGGAAUAAAGUGUGGGACGUGUCCUAUUUUGUAUGUACCUUAUGAAUAAGGAUCGGCUAACUCCGUGCCAGCAGCCGCGGUAAUACGGAGGAUCCGAGCGUUAUCCGGUUUUAUUGGGUUUAAAGGGGGCGUAGGCGGCCUUUUAAGUCAGCGGUGAAAGUUGGUGGCUCAACCAUAGAAGUGCCGUUGAAACUGGGGGGCUUGAGUGUGUGUGAGGCAGGCGGAAUGCGUGGUGUAGCGGUGAAAUGCUUAGAUAUCACGCAGAACCCCGAUUGCGAAGGCAGCCUGCCAAGCCAUGACUGACGCUGAUGCACGAAAGCGUGGGGAUCAAACAGGAUUAGAUACCCCUGUAGUC